rnacentral:rRNA from 1 species
UACGGAGGGUGCGAGCGUUGUCCGGAAUCACUGGGCGUAAAGGGCGCGUAGGCGGCCUGAUAAGUAGGGGGUGAAAUCCUGCGGCUUAACCGCAGGGCUGCCUUCUAAACUGUCAGGCUAGAGCACAGUAGAGGCAGGUGGAAUUCCCGGUGUAGCGGUGAAAUGCGUAGAGAUCGGGAGGAACAUCAGUGGCGAAGGCGGCCAUCUGGGACAACACUGACGCUGAGGCACGAAAGCGUGGGGAGCAAACAGG